UGAAAGAAGCAAACACAGAACGAAGGUGUUUGGCGAGUGUAAGGUAGCGUAGAUAUCUAUAUCAUUGGAGAGGAUAGGACUUGCGCAUUGGUUGGUAUUCUGUUUAGCUUCCUCGUCGGCGACGUACACCUAGUUCCAUCAGUCACGUGGAAAACUUCCGCGGCUUCGCUUCGUUUCCCUGGUUCCUUCUUUUCUUCUGACUCGGUCGUUUUGCGUUCUUUCGUGUUAUGUUUGGCAGCAAGUAACAUCGAUUGAUUCAAGAAAAGAAGAAGUUGCGGUAUCUAACAACUGGCAGAAUCUGAUAAAGUUUACACCUUCCGGUGGAGAAUCCAACGCGAACGAAAUUACGAUAGCCAGGGAUCUAACCGCUUGCCGGAUUCUGGAUGAUCUAGAGUUAGGAAAAAGACGACGACGAUUUCAUGCGACGGAAGCAGGUUCUUCUAUCCCCACAUCAUAGUAAUGUAUACGUCAGACGAUAUUCUUCCUUCAAAUCACACCAUAUGGACAAGUCUCGAGGAUUAGUCUUAAAUUUCGGUAACUUUUAAUUUUGAACAGAAUAUACCGGGCGUACUGCGGAAACCGGUAAGAAUCUAAUUCAAGCUACAACACAUAUCCAUAUCUCAGUACCAAUAAAGAAUUAUACUU